rnacentral:rRNA from 1 species
AAAGCGUGCGCAGGCGGCUUUGCAAGACAGAUGUGAAAUCCCCGGGCUCAACCUGGGAACUGCAUUUGUGACUGCAAGGCUAGAGUACGGCAGAGGGGGAUGGAAUUCCGCGUGUAGCAGUGAAAUGCGUAGAUAUGCGGAGGAACACCAAUGGCGAAGGCAAUCCCCUGGGCCUGUACUGACGCUCAUGCACGAAAGCGUGGGGAGCAAACAGGAUUAGAUACCCCGGU